rnacentral:rRNA from 1 species
GGGUUGUGAGGUUAAGCGACUAAGCGUACACGGUGGAUGCCCUGGCAGUCAGAGGCGAUGAAGGACGUGCUAAUCUGCGAUAAGCGCCGGUAAGGUGAUAUGAACCGUUAUAACCGGCGAUUUCCGAAUGGGGAAACCCAGUGUGAUUCGUCACACUAUCAUUAACUGAAUCCAUAGGUUAAUGAGGCGAACCGGGGGAACUGAAACAUCUAAGUACCCCGAGGAAAAGAAAUCAACCGAGAUUCCCCCAGUAGCGGCGAGCGAACGGGGAGGAGCCCAGAGCCUGAAUCAGCAUGUGUGUUAGUGGAAGCGUCUGGAAAGGCGCGCGAUACAGGGUGACAGCCCCGUACACAAAAGCGCAUGUGCUGUGAGCUCGAUGAGUAGGGCGGGACACGUGGUAUCCUGUCUGAAUAUGGGGGGACCAUCCUCCAAGGCUAAAUACUCCUGACUGACCGAUAGUGAACCAGUACCGUGAGGGAAAGGCGAAAAGAACCCCGGCGAGGGGAGUGAAAAAGAACCUGAAACCGUGUACGUACAAGCAGUGGGAGCCCCACCACCAAAGCAUUCUCUGGUGUUGAAGGCCCUGCAAAGCAGCAUCGCGGUGGCGGAGCGUCGUUUGCGACGCCCAACACACAAAACAAGCGGUGAGUGCUUUGGGGUGGGGUGACUGCGUACCUUUUGUAUAAUGGGUCAGCGACUUAUAUUCUGUAGCAAGGUUAACCGUAUAGGGGAGCCGUAGGGAAACCGAGUCUUAACCGGGCGUUAAGUUGCAGGGUAUAGACCCGAAACCCGGUGAUCUAGCCAUGGGCAGGUUGAAGGUUGGGUAACACUAACUGGAGGACCGAACCGACUAAUGUUGAAAAAUUAGCGGAUGACCUGUGGCUGGGGGUGAAAGGCCAAUCAAACCGGGAGAUAGCUGGUUCUCCCCGAAAGCUAUUUAGGUAGCGCCUCGUGAAUUCAUCUCCGGGGGUAGAGCACUGUUUCGGCUAGGGGGCCAUCCCGGCUUACCAACCCGAUGCAAACUGCGAAUACCGGAGAAUGUUAUCACGGGAGACACACGGCGGGUGCUAACGUCCGUCGUGAAGAGGGAAACAACCCAGACCGCCAGCUAAGGUCCCAAAGUCAUGGUUAAGUGGGAAACGAUGUGGGAAGGCCCAGACAGCCAGGAUGUUGGCUUAGAAGCAGCCAUCAUUUAAAGAAAGCGUAAUAGCUCACUGGUCGAGUCGGCCUGCGCGGAAGAUGUAACGGGGCUAAACCAUGCACCGAAGCUGCGGCAGCGACGCUGAUGCGUUGUUGGGUAGGGGAGCGUUCUGUAAGCCUGUGAAGGUGGCCUGUGAGGGUUGCUGGAGGUAUCAGAAGUGCGAAUGCUGACAUAAGUAACGAUAAAGCGGGUGAAAAGCCCGCUCGCCGGAAGACCAAGGGUUCCUGUCCAACGUUAAUCGGGGCAGGGUGAGUCGACCCCUAAGGCGAGGCCGAAAGGCGUAGUCGAUGGGAAACGGGUUAAUAUUCCCGUACUUGGUGUUACUGCGAAGGGGGGACGGAGAAGGCUAUGUUGGCCGGGCGACGGUUGUCCCGGUUUAAGCGUGUAGGUGUGUGUUCCAGGUAAAUCCGGUUCACUUUAACACUGAGGCGUGAUGACGAGGCACUACGGUGCUGAAGCAACAA